rnacentral:rRNA from 1 species
UACGAAGGGGCUAGCGUUGCUCGGAAUCACUGGGCGUAAAGGUGCGUAGGCGGGUCUUUAAGUCAGGGUGAAUCUGGAGCUCAACUCCAGAACUGCCUUGAUACUGAGGAUCUUGAGUUCGGGAGAGGUGAGUGGAACUGCGAGUGUAGAGGUGAAAUUCGUAGAUAUUCGCAAGAACACCAGUGGCGAAGGCGGCUCACUGGCCCGAUACUGACGC